GGGAAUGUGGCUUAGUGGUAGAGUGCAUGCUGGCAUGCAUAAUGUCCCAGGUUUGAUUCCUCAUUACCA
rnacentral:tRNA from 1 species